UGUUGCUUUGCAGUAGAUGUUAUGAGUCCAUCUGUUUAGAUGCGGAUAUGUUCUAAGACUUCUUUCUGAUUACAGAUCGGUUGCCGUCGGUAGUUCUUUACUAAACGAGGGUUCCGGUGCCAGCGGCUGUCCGAGGGGAAACUAUCGGCUUGGAUCGAGAGCUUGUGGAAGGUUUUGUGGAGCUUGAAGAUGACGUGAUUAAGUGAACUACUGAAGUUGACUAAAUUCAUAAAUGAAAUAAAUAAAACUUUUUGACCAGAA